GUGACCAAGAUAAUAUCACUUUUUUUGAAACCUAAGAUAAUAUGACUCUCCAUUGCACAAAAGAAAUGCACGAUUAAUUCCUUCCAAUUUUGAACAUGACACUUGUGCUCAGCUGUACUGGUGUAUCAACAAACUCACAUGUAAUGAUCAUGGUAGCAUCACAGAAAAGGAGACUCCGAUCUUUCGGCCAUGCAUCGGUAAUUUGUCACAUCCUGGUCAAAAAUAGUCAAUCCACACGGCCACACGUUGCUCUUGCCUCUGUGUUUGUGUAUAAGCAUGCUAAAGAUUGCAUUUCCCAGUCUUGUCAACAUUGACAAAAGAAUGGCAUUUGUGACAAGAAAUGCCAAUAUUGAUACUUAAAAGGAAAUGAAAAGGACACCCACAACAAUUUUUUUCUUUGAAAUGAACCGCACGAGACAGUGCGAGAUUUCGUAUCAAAGAAUAUAGCAAAGAUGAACUGCACCAAUAUGGGUUCCAUGAGUUUGCCGGUCAUGUUUAGCAAUGACAUGGGCCACAUGGCCCAUCUCUCACCCGGAACAAGAACAAAUUCAACCAAGUAUCACAGGAGAGAAGGGCAGCAAUCUUGUUCUUGUCAUCAGCUGGGAUCAAGGAAGAAGAGGGCAUUGUGCUCAAAUGCUUGGAAUAUUGGGAAUGGAAUUGCCACGAUAAUGUCUAUAGCUGAGCAAGCGAGGCGAGGAUGCCAUGUCUGAACUUCAAAGCAGCUCAACCGGGGGAUCACCGAACCGAGGAGCAAGCAGGAAGAUGCUUCGGAGAAACAAACCACUGCAUCUUCAGAGUUCAGAGAACAAGAGAUGACCAGCUCUGUUGCCUCCUGAUCGAACUGUGUGGUUUCGUUGAAUUCGGGGAGACCGAUUUGAGAGUGGCGUGCUGUCCUUCUCUCUGAAAUACCUUAACGAACUUUUUAAUUCUCA